rnacentral:rRNA from 1 species
UCAAUGAUUUUUUAAAUUGCUGUGGUAUUUUGACUAUACGAAGGUAUUGAAAUAAGGUCUUAAAUGGAUGCUAAGAGAAUGGUUGAACAAAGAUUUUCUUUUUUAAAUUAAAUAUUAGAAGUUGGUUUUUAAGUGAAAAAACUUAAAUUAGAUUUUGGGACAAGAAGACCCUAUGAAUUUUAAUUAGGGGAAAUUUUUAAUUAAGUUUAAAAAUUUUUUUAGUUUGAUUGGGGUGAUUUUUAAAGAUUAAUAAUCUUUAAAUAUUGUAAGUUGAUCCAUUAUUAGUGGUUGUUUGAAAAAAAUACUCUAGGGAUAACAGCGUAAUAAUUUUGGAUAGUUCGUAUUGAUAAAAUUGAUUGCGACCUCGAUGUUGGAUUAAGAUACUUUUAUAAUGAAGAAGUUAUAAUAGGAAGUUUGCUC